GGCUAAACCAUGCACCGAAGCUGCGGCAGCGAACGUAUCACCCAAGACAACUUUACGGAGUUGACGAUUGACGGAGCGAAGCGACGUCAAAGCGUUCAUUAAAGUCGAGUUGGCUUAGGGAUACGUUCGUUGGGUAGGGGAGCGUUCUGUAAGCCUGUGAAGGUGUGUCGUGAGGCAUGCUGGAGGUAUCAGAAGUGCGAAUGCUGACAUAAGUAACGAUAAAGCGGGUGAAAAGCCCGCUCGCCGGAAGACCAAGGGUUCCUGUCCAACGUUAAUCGGGGCAGGGUGAGUCGACCCCUAAGGCGAGGCCGAAAGGCGUAGUCGAUGGGAAACGGGUUAAUAUUCCCGUACUUGGUGUUACUGCGAAGGGGGGACGGAGAAGGCUAUGUUGGCCGGGCGACGGUUGUCCCGGUUUAAGCGUGUAGGUGUGUGUUCCAGGUAAAUCCGGUUCACUUUAACACUGAGGCGUGACGACGAGGCACUACGGUGCUGAAGCAACAAAUGCCCUGCUUCCAGGAAAAGCCUCUAAGCAUCAGGUAACAUCAAAUCGUACCCCAAACCGACACAGGUGGUCAGGUAGAGAAUACCAAGGCGCUUGAGAGAACUCGGGUGAAGGAACUAGGCAAAAUGGUGCCGUAACUUCGGGAGAAGGCACGCUGACACGUAGGUGAAGUGAUUUACUCAUGGAGCUGAAGUCAGUCGAAGAUACCAGCUGGCUGCAACUGUUUAUUAAAAACACAGCACUGUGCAAACACGAAAGUGGACGUAUACGGUGUGACGCCUGCCCGGUGCCGGAAGGUUAAUUGAUGGGGUCAGCGCAAGCGAAGCUCCUGAUCGAAGCCCCGGUAAACGGCGGCCGUAACUAUAACGGUCCUAAGGUAGCGAAAUUCCUUGUCGGGUAAGUUCCGACCUGCACGAAUGGCGUAAUGAUGGCCAGGCUGUCUCCACCCGAGACUCAGUGAAAUUGAACUCGCUGUGAAGAUGCAGUGUACCCGCGGCAAGACGGAAAGACCCCGUGAACCUUUACUAUAGCUUGACACUGAACAUUGAGCCUUGAUGUGUAGGAUAGGUGGGAGGCUUUGAAGUGUGGACGCCAGUCUGCAUGGAGCCGACCUUGAAAUACCACCCUUUAAUGUUUGAUGUUCUAACGUGGACCCGUAAUCCGGGUUGCGGACAGUGUCUGGUGGGUAGUUUGACUGGGGCGGUCUCCUCCUAAAGAGUAACGGAGGAGCACGAAGGUUGGCUAAUCCUGGUCGGACAUCAGGAGGUUAGUGCAAUGGCAUAAGCCAGCUUGACUGCGAGCGUGACGGCGCGAGCAGGUGCGAAAGCAGGUCAUAGUGAUCCGGUGGUUCUGAAUGGAAGGGCCAUCGCUCAACGGAUAAAAGGUACUCCGGGGAUAACAGGCUGAUACCGCCCAAGAGUUCAUAUCGACGGCGGUGUUUGGCACCUCGAUGUCGGCUCAUCACAUCCUGGGGCUGAAGUAGGUCCCAAGGGUAUGGCUGUUCGCCAUUUAAAGUGGUACGCGAGCUGGGUUUAGAACGUCGUGAGACAGUUCGGUCCCUAUCUGCCGUGGGCGCUGGAGAACUGAGGGGGGCUGCUCCUAGUACGAGAGGACCGGAGUGGACGCAUCACUGGUGUUCGGGUUGUCAUGCCAAUGGCACUGCCCGGUAGCUAAAUGCGGAAGAGAUAAGUGCUGAAAGCAUCUAAGCACGAAACUUGCCCCGAGAUGAGUUCUCCCUGAGACUUAGAGUCUCCUGAAGGAACGUUGAAGACGACGACGUUGAUAGGCCGGGUGUGUAAGCGCAGCGAUGCGUUGAGCUAACCGGUACUAAUGAACCGUGAGGCUUAACCUUACAACGCCGAAG
rnacentral:rRNA from 1 species